rnacentral:rRNA from 1 species
CAAAGGACAUAAUUAUAAGAAUAGGUAAAAAGGUAGUUAGAUAAGCAAGAGAAGUUUGAUAAAAUUGUGUGUAGAGGUCAAAUUCCUGCACAUAAUAGAAAUUUAGGUUAAACUAAAAUAUUGAAUCUACGAAAGUUUUAAGGGAAACCGGGAUUGGAUACCCCAUUAUUUUAAACAUUAAAUAAAUAUUGAAAUUUACCUGAGUACUACGAAUUUAUACAUUUAAAACUCAAAGAGCUUGGCGGUGUUUUAGACCUUUCAGGGGAAUUUGUCUCGUAAUCGAUAAUCCGCGUUAUACCUAACCUUCACUAGAAAAAUCAGUUUGUAUACCGUCGUUGUCAGUUAACUUCCAAUGAAAUAAAGAGUUGGCGAAAAAUAUUAAAUUUUAACUUCAGAUCAAGGUGCAACUAAUGUGAAGGCGAGGAUGAAUUACAAUUAAGAUUCAUAAUUAUGAAUAAAGUAAUGAAACUUAUUUUUGAAGGUGGACUUGAAAGUAAAAUGAAAUAUAUAAACAUAUUGAAUUUGGCUCUUAAAUGUGUACAAAU